AGCGAACGCUGGCGGCAGGCCUAACACAUGCAAGUCGAACGAACCCUUCGGGGUUAGUGGCGGACGGGUGAGUAACACGUGGGAACGUGCCUUUAGGUUCGGAAUAACUCAGGGAAACUUGAGCUAAUACCGAAUGUGCCCUUCGGGGGAAAGAUUUAUCGCCUUUAGAGCGGCCCGCGUCUGAUUAGCUAGUUGGUGAGGUAAAGGCUCACCAAGGCUACGAUCAGUAGCUGGUCUGAGAGGAUGACCAGCCACAUUGGGACUGAGACACGGCCCAAACUCCUACGGGAGGCAGCAGUGGGGAAUCUUGCGCAAUGGGCGAAAGCCUGACGCAGCCAUGCCGCGUGGAUGAUGAAGGUCUUAGGAUUGUAAAAUCCUUUCACCGGUGAAGAUAAUGACUGUAGCCGGAGAAGAAGCCCCGGCUAACUUCGUGCCAGCAGCCGCGGUAACAC
rnacentral:rRNA from 1 species